CCAAUUUCAACUUUCCUUUUAGGACCUUUUAAUUGUUUUUCACAAAGGCUAAAAGGACAUCCAGGCACUUCAACGACUGCUAACAUUUAUUCUACUCCAGUGCCCGUGAAUGCAAAACUAAUUCUUUUAAUUAUAAUGAAAAGAGAUGGGAUUGGAUUUCUGGCUUAGUGAGCGGGUGCCUACAGCAUUUAGUUCAAAGUGUCAUCUACAGGUCAGAAAACUUUAAAAAUAUAUAUUUAUUUUGUGGUGAUAUUUUCUUUGCAAUAGUAAACAAUUAAGUUUCCUUGACUGGCCGGAUAAAUUGCUUCCUAAAAAUACUUACUGCUGAAGACUGCUACGCUCAUUCUAAGUAUCUCUACUCAAGCUUAGGACUGGUGCAGAAGUUAUUAAACAGAAGUUGCAUAUCAGCUGUAUGCAACUAUAAUGUUUUCGGGAAAGCAAACUUUGUGAGCACUCCCUGCCACCCCAGCAUCAAAGCAUAAUUGUCAGAAUAUGAAGAUCAAACGCUCAUGACAGGCAAUCUGUUAAAUUGAUUAGCUAAUGCAUUUGAACAGAGUUACUUGCAGUGGGAGAGAUGUGACUCAUUUUUAUUUUUUAACCACUUUUUGAACAGCAUUCAUCCUUUCUGGGAACACCAAGUAUAUAUAUUACAUCAUAAGUUCAAAAACAGUGACCUGUUGCAUCAAACAACAGACCCGCUUUAAUCUGCCAAUCUGUCCACUAAGAUCGGGAUGGCCAGGUGUUUCCAGGAAUCUUGAAAGCAGCCUUUCCUUAUUGUUUGUCCCCAGCAGCUGUAAUUCAGAGGUGCACUGUCUCUGAGAAAGGCCGCUCCAUUUAGCUAUUCAAGCUAAUAGGUAAAGGUAAAGGGACCCCUGACUGUUAGGUCCAGUCACGAACGACUCUGGGUUUGUGGUGCUCAUCUCGCUUUACUGGCCGAGGAAGCCGGCGUACAGCUUCCGGGUCAUGUGGCCAGCAUGACUAAGCCAUUUCUGGCAAACCAGAGCAGCACACAGAAACGCCGUUUACCUUCCCGCUGGAGUGGUACCUAUUUAUCUACUUGCAAUUUGACGUGCUUUUGAACUGCUAGGUUGGCAGGAGCAGGGACCGAGCAACAGGAGCUCACCCCGUCAUGGGGAUUUGAACCGCCAACCUUCUGAUUGACAAGCCCUAGGUUCUGUGGAUUAGACCACAAUGCCACCCGCAUCCCUCAUUCUAGCUAAUAGCCCUUGAUAAAUGUGCCAUUCUUGAAAACGCCUAAUCUCUUUUUCAGACCUACUAAGCCAGUGACCACAACACCAUGCACCUGUGGAUUCCAACAAGUUAAUUAUGUGUUAUGUGAAUACAUAUUUUAUUUUGCCUGUGUCCACUGAAUCUAUGGCAAAACAAAUUCAUUGAAUGACCCCACGCUCUAGUAUUACAGAGGAGAGACAAUUCUAUAUAUCCAUCCUUAACAUGCUACAGUAUUCGUAAUGUUAUAAUCCUGUCUCAUACACCCACUUGUUUUUCUAUUUCUGUAGACCACACUUUUUCAACCUUGGGUCCCUAUAUAUUGUGGGACUACAAAUCCCAUCAUUCCAAGACAACAUGGCCAGUGGCCAGGGAUGAUGGGAUUUGUAGUUCAAGAACAUCUGGGGACCCAAGGUUGAGGAAGGUUGUUCUAGGCUAAACAUCCUAAAUGUUUUAGUUUAAUGUGUCUUUUCAUAGGGAAAGGGCUCCAAUGAGCAUGGCACCAGCCGCCUCAUUAAAAGCAGUCAGUUCCUCAAAAAGCCUCUUGGAUCAAGUAGGUCUUCUUCACCUGCCAGCAGAAGGACAAGGAGGGAGCCAGUCUCACUCCUCUAGGGAGAGAGGUCCAAAGUAUGGGAGCAGCCACCAAGAAGGUCUUCUCCAAUUUUCCCACCAAACAUGUUUGGAAUGGUGGCAGGACUGAGAAAGACUCUUCCAAAGAUCUCAGAACCCAGGGAAUAUGAUUUUUCAGAUAGGUUGGACCUCAGCCAUGUAGGGCUUUAUAAGUCGUAGGCAGUGAAACUGUUCUAGGAAGGAAGUCAUCUCCUCCCUAUAACCAGCCCCAGUCAACAAUCUGGCUGCACCUCUUUGAGCCAGUUGAAGUUUCUGAGUAUUUUUCAAAGGCAGCCCCAUGUCAUGUGUGUUACCCAAAUGACAUGCAACUAAGGCGGGCGUCACUGUGGCCAAAUCAGACAUCUGUAAUGAGCUGGUUGGAUGCUGUAGUACAAAGCACCCAAAGGGGAAACAUGGCAUAAAACAGCUUUGAUGAUAUUCAAUAGCGCAGAGACAAACUUAAGUCUGAUAUCAUCACUAGUCUGUCCAGCAAGUAUCAUGUGCUACAUCAGAAGGCUGACAGAAACUUUCCCGGAGACAUCAAAUACAUAACACAAAUAUAUUUGCUUAGGAAACAGCAAAGCUUCCCCAGAUUUCAGAAGCAAAACCCUCAAUGGAAUAAGAAGGCCAAACUACGAGGGAAGAUUAGAAGUCUCAUAAGCUUCAUAUCUCUGAGUUUUAGCUGGAUGUAGUCUUUUUGAAAGCUUGUGUGGAUGUGAAUGAAAAAAAAUUGUGAUUCAUACUGAUAGGGUGGGCUCACAUCAGUAAUAAAUUAGUUUCCAACAUCAAAGGAAAAUAAACAGAAAAUAAAUAAUUUUAAUUCCCUAAAGCAUAAAUAUUGGAUGUACAUAUAAAUGUAGCACAUUUGUUAUUUGGAUGUUUAAAACGUCUGCUUCAACUUCUCUUUCCAAUUAUGAACAGGAAUGUUUUGUUUGUUUGUUUAAGUGUCUGACAUGCAGGACUUUUUUUCAGCUGAAACUCUCUGGAACACAGUUCUGUCACCUCUCAGGUGGGCCAGAACAAGGGAGAAUGAGGUGAGUUCAGGGUGAGUUCUGGCACCUUUUUUAUAGAAAAAAUAGCAUUGCUCACAUGCAACCAGUAGAGCUGAACUGCCCCACGACCACCUGAAACAAUUUGAGAGACAUGUCUAAUGCUUUAUUAGUGUGUUUUAAACCCUACACCCUGUGGGGAUAGAGCGUGCAAAAGAGCACCCUGCAGGAAUCCUCCAGUCACCCGCUGUUGAGCAGAGGAAUCAAUCCUGCUGGGGUCUGCUGCUGUAUCCUGUCUGAUGCCUAAUAAUAAUAAUAAUUUAUUAUUUGCACUCUGCCCAUCUGGCUGGGUUUCCCCAGCCACUCUGGGCGGCUUCCAACAAAGAUUAAAAAUACAUUAAAAUGUCACACAUUAAAAACUUCCCUCCAGGUGUCUUCUAAAUGUCAGGUAGAUGUCUCUUUGACAUCUGAUGGGUGUUCCACAGGGCAGGCACCACUACUGAGAAAGCCCUCUGCCUGGUUCCCUGUAGCUUCGCUUCUCGCAGUGAGGGAACUGCCAGAAGGCCCUCAGCGCUGAAUCUCAGCGUCUGGGCAGAACACUUGACAGCCCCAGAUCACUCUGAUCGGCCUGACCCAAGCCACGAUGACCCAGAGCUGUCCCUACCUGACUCUGCUGAAGCCUGGAUCCUUCCCAAAUCAGCCUGAUUUUGGUUCAGGAUUUGGGCUUUUGCAAAUAUGGCACAGCCCCGGUACCCACUGCAUGACAAAAAAUAAUAAUUCAGUCAAAAUGGCAGUUGAAGAAGCAUCAGUGAGGGAGAUGAUGUAACCUCAGACAGCUGUGGAAAAGGGAAGGGUGAAAAUCUUCUCAGGCAAGUCUCCUAUCCUGUGAUUCCUUUUGAGGAGGAGAAGGAAGGAAGGAAGGAAGGAAGGAAGGAAGGAAGGAAGGGGCAUACAUUGUGAUGGUAAUAGGCAUUGAACUUCCAACUGGCCUGUUGCCCUUUCCUCAAAUUUCAAGGGUGAAAAGUUUGUUUGUUUGUUUCAUUUAUAUACUGCCCAUAUGAAAGCACAGCAUACAAACAAGCAAAACAGUACCUCCACAGUUUAAAAGGCCAUAAAAGGUAAAGGUAAAGGGACCCCUGACCGUUAGGUCCAGUCGUGGCCGACUCUGGGGUUGCAGCGCUCAUCUCGCUUUACUGGCCAAGGGAGCCGGCGUUUGUCCACAGACAGCUUCCAGGUCAUGUGGCCAGCAUGACUAAGCCGCUUCUGGAGAACCAAAGCAGUGCACGGAAACGCAAUUUACCUUCCUGCCAGAGCGGUACCUAUUUAUCUACUUGCAUUUUGUGCUUUUGAACUGCUAGGUUGGCAGGAGCAGGGACCAAGCAACGGAAGCUCACCCUGUCGCACAGACUCGAACCGCCAACCUUCUGAUCAGCAAGUCCUAGGCUCUGUGGUUUAACCCACAGCGCCACCCGUGUCCCGAGGGUAUGGUAGGAUGUCCCUAUUUUCAUCAGAGAAAUGUUGGAGGUUAGAGAGUUAUCUGACCCUUGAGCUAUCUGAAAGCCACCCUGUAUAGGGAAGUUUUUUUUAAUGUUGAAUGUUGAAAUUAUGUUUGUUAUAUGUGUUGGAAGCCUCCCAGAGUGGCUGGGGCAAUUCUGCCAAAUGGGUAGGGUAUAAAUAGUGAAACUAUUAUUAUGGAAUACAAUGUCCCUAUUUAAAUUGGAGAAAUGUGGGAGAGUAUGGCCUUCUGCCUGACACAGUUUUCUAUGUGCAGGAUUUUCCCAUCAUGGGAAAACAUAAAAUCCUGAUACUGAACUGUAAGGGCCCAGGAGCAAUUUAUCAUGUAAUGCAUUAUUUGACUAAGAUGCCUCUCAUAGAACAAGGAAGCAACAGCUUCAGGUUGAACCUAAUUUGAUGUGACACUCUUUACUCAAGCAAUGGAAAACCAACAAGAGGAGCAUCUAUUUCUGACCUUCUCUGUAUGUUUGAUAAAGAUCUCUUUUUGGCAGAUAUUCAGGCCUGCUGUUAUCACUUCCUCCUAAUGAAGAUUUCACUUGGUGCCAUGAAACAGUGAUUGUUAGUCAUCACAAAAGACACCAGUAGUAUUAAAAAACACACAAAAACCCCAUCACUGCCUUCUGUCAUUUUGAAGAGUUUUAAGUCUGUGUUUGUGUGUGUGGUGUGUUCAUCUUAUUCUCUUCCAAGGCUGAAUGAAUUUUGCCACCAAAGAAGAGACAAUUUUCUUACUGAUUCUUGAAACAAAAAAUACAAAAAAGGAAAGAAUCUUGUUUUAAUUUGAAGACCACUGUAUUUGUUGUGACAAACUUUAAUGGAUGAGAGCCCAGCGUUAGCUCACUGAGGAUAAUUCUCCAUGCGUCAGAAAAAGCAGGCUUUAAUCUAUCAAUUUUUUGGUCACCAAAAAUAUGUCAGCAGCACUUAGGAGAUACCGCAGGACCCUGCAUUAUUUUGGCUGUAUGGCCUUCCCUCUGGAAAAUAUAAGCUGCUUUUGAAAAUAAGUCAGAGGAAGAAUGACCACUGGGAGGAGCCCAGAGAGAAGAAACACCAUGGCACACAAGCAUCAGCACAACCAGAUGCCUUCAUCUGCCCCAGCUGCAACAAAACAUGUCUCUCCCUUAUUGGUCUCCACAGCCACAGCAGGUGCUGUAAUUCUCCAUGGUUUACUCCUCCAUUGUCUCCCAAGACAGACAGAUGCCAACCUCAGUCUUACUAGCUGAUACAUGCAGACUGAAACAGGCUUUCACACACAUAUCCCUACUUGGGUGAGGAAUGCAGUGGUGCCUUGGUUCUCAAAUUUAAUUCAUUCCAAGAGUCCGUUCGACUCCCAAAACAGUUCGAAAACCAAGACACGGCUUCCAAUUGGCUGCAGGAGCUUCCUGCACUCAGACGUUCAACUUCCGAAAAACAUUCGCAAGCCGGAACACUCACUUUGUGGGGUUUGGGAGCUAAUUUGUUCACUAGUCGUUAUUGAGAUUGUAAGGAAUAAGAUGUAUGGCUCUAAACAUAUAAAGAAUCUACAGCACAUUAAGAAGUAAGCCCCACAAUUUCAUUGGGACUUAUCCCCACGUACAUAUGUAUAGGAUUGCAGAUUAUAUCGCUGUUUGCAAUGCUGAUAUUGCAUAACAGCAUAAUCCCUAGCAUUUAAAAUGCUUCACAAUAGAAGUCCUAUGUAUUUUCUUGAAGUAAAGCACUGCAGAAAAUGGAAAUAAAAAACCCCCAGCACUUGAGAAGAUUGAUAAUGGAAGUUCAAUAAAUUGCUAGUGAAAACGCUCUGCUGUGCCUUUGCCCAGGGAACAUUUUUUCCCCCUAGUAGAAGUUAAUUCCUUUUUCCAAAAAGAGAAAAGGGAAUUAUAAAAGAAGGCUGAAAUAAUUGCGCUGUCAAUUACUUCUGAAACAGCCACAGUCAAAAGGUGCUAAUCUUCAUUAAUAUUCUGAUAUAACUAAAUUGGCAAAAGAGAAAACACUUACUAUGCAAGUCUCUCUCCUUAAACACACUCCUCUGCAUAACCUGACUUACUAGGGCUGUUGUAAGGAUUGUAACUGCAUGAUACACGUGGAAAACUUUGAAGACCUGAAAGCACUAUACAGAUGUUAAGCGUUAAAGGUGAACAUUUCCAAAUUCUGGUGCUGGCAGUCGUUAUUGCGGAGCAGCAUUAAUUGGAAAGCAAGAUUCAUAACAAUCAACCUUUUGCACGUACUCUAAGGCUGGCCAAUGCAUGCAAGUAACUGCAUUUGAAUUGUUUUUAUUUAUUUAUUAAAAAUAUUUCAGUUAAACAGAAACCAACAAAAAAUAAACAAAAACAUGCAUUAAAAAUACAAUAUAUAUAUAUAAAAAGGAGGAAAGCAUUAUAAUUCUAUACAUGCUUAUCUAACACAAUGGUAUAUAAAUGGCAUUUUUAUUCUAAUACAGAUACAAUUAUUUGUAACCUACUAUGUUUUGUAUAAAUGCUUUCCAGCUAUCAUAAUAUCUAUCAGUAUACCUGAAGGAGCG